rnacentral:rRNA from 1 species
UACAGAGGAUGCAAGCGUUAUCCGGAAGUGAUUGGGCGUAAAGCGUCUGUAGGUGGCUUUUUAAGUUCGCCGUCAAAUCCCAGGGCUCAACCCUGGACAGGCGGUGGAAACUAACCAAGCUGGAGUACGGUAGGGGCGAGAGGGAAGUUUCCGGUGGAGCGGUGAAAUGCGUAGAGAUCGGAAAGAACACCAACGGCGAAAGCACUCUGCUGGGCCGACACUGACACUGAGAGACGAAAGCUAGGGGAGCGAAUGGGAUUAGAUACCGUGUAGU